ensembl:lncRNA
CAUUCCUUUCUGAGUUCUGAGGAGUGGUUUUUCCAUUGCAUACCUCUCCCCAGAGCUGUACCGUUGCCAUCUGAACUGGAUGCUGCCAAAAUACUUCCCCGCAUUCAGGACUGAGGACAGCACAGAGGACUGAAGUCAGUUGACAUGAGAUACUCAGAUAAAACUGAUGUGAAGGGUAGGUAUGUACCUAUGGGUUUCCAGCCUGUCAUGGUGUAACCACGGGUACCCAGCCUGGAAAACCUAGAACAGAUAGAUAUUUGUGAGGAUAGUUGUGCUGAUCCCCAUGGUCCUGAUAUUAAACUGCUGGCAAAACUCCAGGCUAGCCAGACUCGGGUCGUCUUUGUUCUCAUUAGGAUCAGAAAAUCAAUCAUAGAAUGGUUUGUGUUGGAAGAGACCUUAAGGAUCAUCUAGUUCCAACACCCCUGCCGUAGACAGGGAUGCAUCCCACCAAACCAGGUUGCCAAAAACCUCAUCCAGCCUGGCCUUGAGCACUCCCAGAGAUGGGGAAUACACAGCUUUUCUGAGCAAUCUGUGCUGGUGCCUCACCAGCUUAGGAGUAAAGAGUGUCUUCCCAAAAUCUAACCUAAAUUUCCCCUCUUUUAGUUUAAAACUGUUCCCCCUUGUCCUACUACCAUGUAAAAUGCUGAUCUCCAAGUGUCUAUGCUACAGCGAAAUAUCAUCAGCAGUCAGAGUCAAGUGCCAUGAUAUGUUCAAAGUCCUUUUCUAGCAGCCAUCCAAGUCCCAAAAUGCAGAGAAACAUCCCCAUGGGGCUCUCAGAGGCAGGGACUUGGUGCUUGGUGCUGGUUCUGCUACUCUGAGUACUUCCAGAGCUGGGUUAAGACUCCUGCAAAAGGUGCUGGAGGACUCCCACAAGCAGUGCCAAAUCUGGCAUACCAGCAACAGAGGAAUUGAAGCACAAAGCUGUUGAGAGUUAAGUGGAGUACCGUUGCUGGCAGUAGGAGGUGGUCAGUGCCUGUGAGCCUGAGACACCGUGUGCAUUUUUGUUCUGUGUUGUUGGUUUUUUUUUUACCUUCCUUCUCCUCUCCCUGUGCUUGUGAUUCCAUCUGCAGGAGGAACUUCUGCCUUUUAUUUACUGCUCCUCUUUAUUUGCAGCCCCAGGCCAAUCUGGGCCAGCACCAACCACAUACCAAAGCCAGCAGGAAUGGUUUUGCCAAAUAGAGACAUGACAGGGAGAAGUUUGGCUGCUUAUUUACACAUGUAACAAGGUCUUCUGCAGCCCCUGAGCUGAACCGAGAAGCUCCUUCAGAACUCAACUCCAUUACAAUUGGUUCAUCACCACACACCCAACUGCAUCACCAACCAUUAGGCUGUCAAGGGUUGAUGAAGAGACAAAGUGAAUGUGCUGUGAUGGGCACAGCAGAGCUGCCAGCCCAGCUGUGUUGGCUUCAAAUUUUGGAAGAAGAGAGGAGUCAGUGAUGAAAUCAGAGCUUUUCUCUCUGGGGAUCUGAGCAAUCAAGUGAAUGAAAGAAUUUCUCUGCCCUUUCUGGCUUUUGGAUCAGGCCCUUGUUUAGGUACUUAGUGCAGGAAUUUGGCCGGGUAGCAUGGCCUCCUCUACUCUGAAUGUGAUUUUCAUCCAACUCAUCAGUAAAAUGGAGUUCAAGGACCUCACUGCAGUCCCAAAUGACUACCCAAAUCAUUCUGUCCCAAAGCAAUGCUGAAUAAAUGACCCAGUGCUCAGAGCUGUUGCUGCUUCUCACCAAGCACGAGCCUGACCAGUGGGACAGGAGCAACUCCAGUGAAUGCAAGUGAGUUAUUUUAGUGGAAAAGAUGAUUAAGAGUCAUUCCUGGAUGCUCUAUGCUUCUUAGACAUGUCUGAGGAUAAUGAGUUUGGAUCCCAGAACUAUUUAAAGAAAUGACACCAAAUUCUCACCCCUCUUGCAUCCCUCAGUUCAUGACAGUGACUCCUGAUUUACACAAGCUUGAAACUGGAAUUUGACUUUAGAAUAAUUCCUUUACCUUCAGCCAGGAACUGCUUACUCCCUUUAAUUAAAAUAUAAAAAUUAAAUGACUUUCUCAAAGUCUGGAGGUGCAAGGUGCAAUGCUAACAUUAGGCUGUAGAUAUUUCUAUCCAGCUGAGAUCUGUAUGGCUCUGUGGCCCUCUGAUAAGCAGUGUGAAAUGAGAAUAUAACCGUAUUUAGGGCUUGAAAAAGAGCAGUAAAGGAAUUCUAGGCUAUGACAGAAUUUUAGGGCAUUAAUUUGAAACUGUUUUUUUAAAACAGGACUAUAUGCAGCAGCAGCAUUGUUGCAGUUUUGGAAUGAAAAAAGGGAUUCCAAACAAGCUCAGAAGAUGAAAUAUCUGAUGUUUAUUUAUUUGGUUGGGUUGGAUUGCGGUGGGUUUUAUUUUUGGCUAAUCAAUGGGCAGUUGCCAGUUGGUUUGUAGAAAGCAAAAUGAAGUUACAAAGAAAGCUGAGGAGUGGGCAUUUCUUGGCUCCAUUGCAGGGGCUGAAUGGUUUCUUUGUGAUCACCAUCUCCAUUUCUUUUUCCAUCAGCAUGGUGUUUAAACAAGGCAAAAAACAAACAAACAAACAAACAAACAAACAAACAAAAAAAACCCAUAGGGUUUUUGAAGGAAUGAUAUACUUUUGGGCUAGAAGGGGGUCUCUCAGACCUGGGAGUAUCAACAUGUGUCAUUAUGAAGCACAUUUCAUUCUGUCUGCACACAAGUUCAUGGUAGCACUUGGUUUGGUUAAAGGUCAUUGGGAACACGUGGUAUGAGAAGCAUAGAUCCUGACAUCAGCCCAUCUUCCCUGCAAGGUGAAGGGUCUAAACCCUCUGCCUGUGUAAAACACCUUCCUUUGCCAUGCCCUGGCUUCUCAGCCUUCAGAUAGCUCAUUGGGCUGAAGAAGGGGUUGGACUGGACACAGCUGUCUCUGCACCAAUGGUGAAAGUGCCAAAUUCUUGGCAAUAAGGACCACAGUCCAGGGCUCCAUGACUCUCCAUGCAACUUUGCACUUUUCACAUACCAGUAUUUAUGGUAGAUGGGACCAUAAUGCUUCUCAAUUGUAGAUGACUCUAGUGGAGCAGGAGACCAAGCCUCACAUAUAUGUAUAUCAGUCUGGAGUGACUCUGGUGCAGUUGUAACUAACUGGUGUUACAAGGAAAAGAAUUAAGUCCCAAUCUGGUAAUUGGUGUCAGACAUCCCAAAAUCCAGAGCAGCAUAGAAUUCAAUCUGUUUUCUUUCAGUCGAUAAGCUUUUACCCUGUUCCCAAACCCAAUAUUCAUACACUGGUGUGAUGAAGUACAGUUACAACUGAUGUUGUUAUUUCCUCUAGAUAUCUAUAAAGUUACAAAACUUGGCUUUCCUGGGCCAACAGAUCAUUUCUUCCACCUCCUUUUCUCUGGAAGUCCUCUGUCUUUGCUCCUCUGCAUGGUGUUGCAUUGUGUUGAAGGGCCCUGGGUUCAAAACCCUACUUCUUUCUAGCACACUGCAGAAUCACGGGGAUAAGAUAGUCAUUGGGACUGGAAGCUGUUUAGCAGGUCUCUAAGGGAAAUUAAUGUCUGUCAUGUUCUGAGGGCCAGGCCUUUAGGACUCCCAGAUUGGCGUCAGUAGAGCACUUGGCGGUUUAUACCCCAGUUUUGUGGAUGUUGUAAACUUGUACGUAGAGGAAAUCUGAAGAGCACAUUUAAAAAGCAAAAAGUCACACGUUUUUUAUACUCUGUGGAUAAUAAA